rnacentral:rRNA from 1 species
UGAGGAAUAUUGGUCAAUGGGCGAGAGCCUGAACCAGCCAAGUCGCGUGAGGGAUGACGGCCUACGGGUUGUAAACCUCUUUUGCCGGGGAGGCAAUGCAUCCGCACGAGUGCGGAGCGGGAGAGUACCCGGAGAAAAAGCAUCGGCUAACUCCGUGCCAGCAGCCGCGGUAAUACGGAGGAUGCGAGCGUUAUCCGGAUUUAUUGGGUUUAAAGGGUGCGUAGGCGGAACGCCAAGUCAGCGGUAAAAAAUUCGGGGCUGCAACCCGCACGUCGCUGUCGUAAACUGGUGUCCUUGAGUGGGCGAGAAGUAUGCGGAAUGCGUGGUGUAGCGGUGAAAUGCAUAGAUAUCACGCAGAACUCCGAUUGCGAAGGCAGCAUACCGGCGCCGCACUGACGCUGAAGCACGAAAGCGUGGGUAUCGAACAGGAUUAGAUACC